rnacentral:lncRNA from 1 species
GUAGGGGAGUUCACACCGGGACUUUCUUAAUAGAGAAAGAACCCAUACCCUGAACCGGGGAAAGGCGAUAACGACCCAGGAAAUGGUGAAGUACGUGAAUCGACUCCCUCUUCGAGUCCAGACCUUUUAACAUAAAAUAAAGAAUAAGGGACUGACUUCUUUCUUGACAAGGAUCCUGAAUAAAUCGCACAUGCUCCAAGGACUUCACGGAAUUAGGAGGCACACAGGUGGGUAUACCAAGAGAAAUGCGGG